rnacentral:rRNA from 1 species
AUUGAACGCUGGCGGCAUGCCUUACACAUGCAAGUCGAACGGCAGCACGGGAGCAAUCCUGGUGGCGAGUGGCGAACGGGUGAAUAAUGUAUCGGAACGUACCUUUCAGUGGGGGAUAACGUAGCGAAAGUUACGCUAAUACCGCAUAUUCUGUGAGCAGGAAAGCAGGGGAUCGCAAGACCUUGCGCUGAUUGAGCGGCCGAUAUCAGAUUAGCUAGUUGGUGAGGUAAAGGCUCACCAAGGCGACGAUCUGUAGCGGGUCUGAGAGGAUGAUCCGCCACACUGGAACUGAGACACGGUCCAGACUCCUACGGGAGGCAGCAGUGGGGAAUUUUGGACAAUGGGCGCAAGCCUGAUCCAGCCAUGCCGCGUGGGUGAAGAAGG